UACGUAGGGGGCUAGCGUUGUCCGGAAUCAUUGGGCGUAAAGCGCGCGUAGGCGGCCAACUAAGUCAGACGUGAAAUCCCUCGGCUUAACCGGGGAACUGCGUCUGAUACUGGAUGGCUAGAGGUUGGGAGAGGGAUGCGGAAUUCCAGGUGUAGCGGUGAAAUGCGUAGAUAUCUGGAGGAACACCGGUGGCGAAGGCGGCAUCCUGGACCAAUUCUGACGCUGAGGAGCGAAAGCCAGGGGAGCAAACGGG
rnacentral:rRNA from 1 species